ACGCGUUCGUUUUGGUGUAUCACUUCCAAACUUGACUGUGUAGCACUCUAAAAUCUUGAAACUAAAGAUCCUGAGAUGGAAUUUAUUAUGAAGAAGCAUUUUCUGGUUCUUGCCCCAAGGUCUAGGGGAGAGAGAUAAGUGAGGGAAAUAAAAUGUUCUUGCCAUGGUACAGUUGGUUAAUGAAAUGAAGAAAAUACCUAGAAGUUCCUAGUGUUAAUAGUCUGUUUAAUCUAGAGCUGGUUGACUUAAUUUCUACUCAUGUUCGUGGGAGGUCUUACUGUAUAAAGGAUCCAUUGCUUGGAGAUUUCACACUUUUACUCCAAGAUAGGUUAAAACUGAAUGGCAUGGGAAAGCAAAGCUUGCUGUUGGAAUGAACACUUCACUCUGUUUUGCUGUGCUCCCAUAUGACUUCCAGAGGAUUCAGCUCUGCACACGGUUCCAUUUAUGGCUUCUUAUGUCUUUCUUUUCUAACAGCAGUUUUAAAAUCUGAUUAUGAGGACAAUAGGUUUAACUGCAUUUUCUAUGGGAAACUUCAGUGUUUCUGGCACAAGAACUAAUUGUAGUUACUCAUACGUCUGAGCUUCCAAAGUCCCAAAGAUGAGCAUCUUUCUGAUUAUCUUUGUGGAUUGCAGCAUCACCCCUUAACAUGCAACCAACCUCAAGAAUUUGAACACAAACAGAUGUGGAAAUAAAUGUGUGCAUUUCCCUCAACAAUCUGUAUUCGGUCUUCUUGUCCUGGGAAAAGCUGGUAGAAUUCACCUGGAUAUUUGAUUUCUUCUUGACUAGGCUCGGUUUCCAAGACAGGGCCUUCCUUUCCCAGAGUUUCAAGUGAUAGAUGUUGAGGGUCACCGCAGCUGCUGGAGCGGGAGAUCAGUGCCACCACGAACCACUGCCAAAAUAUUCCUGCUUGCAACUUACUGGAACCUUACUCAUGAGAUCUGCUACCUUUGAUGUCUUGCAGGAGAGGUAUGAGACGGUUUCUUUGGUCACUGAGUAAUGAACUAUUUGCAGUGAUAGGCACUGACUGUCGACUGUGUCUUCAUCUGUUCUCCUCAUCUUAACUCCAGGUUGCUGUGUUGAUCGUUGAACGUCAUUGCUGAUGUACUGCUUUCUUAGCACGGGUGUAUGUUGUAACCUCUCGGCCUGUAGGUAGCUACCCAGCCUCUUUAAAGCUGCUCUUCUGCAGUUAAUCCGUUAUUUCAAUGAGUUAAUAAUUCUUCCCAGUCCUCUGAAAUUCUAGAAUUCAUUGCCUAACCACAAGUGGUCAUUCUCCCAUAAGUUGUGUUUGAUUCCAUUGUGUUGUAAUAGAAAACCAGAAGAAACAAAAUAUUGUGCAGCUCAUUUUUAACAUAACUCAGAUUUUUACAUAAAAAGGAGCACUGUCUUUGUAGGCAGCUUUUAUAAUUUAUAAUUUUAAUAAUCUGAGACGGUAGCUUCGUACAUCAUCUUCAGUCUUUGCAAAAAAAAAUGUUCUCUUCAAAUUAUUGUUUGGAUAAUUAGACUUCGUUCCUAGUGAGAAAAUAUUAUAAAAAUAAUAUAAAUAAUAUUCAAAUCUUGAAGGAUUAUCUGCUUCCUCCUCACAUGCAAGUUACACAUUCUCACCCGGGGAGCCUGCGGCACUAGGAUGAAUACCUGUCUCUACAGCAGCUUUAAUGUUCUCCGUGUUUGUGGAGGGCUGUCAAGGUGGAACACCUUCACUUCAGAUCUGUUUGCCUUUAUUUUCUUUAGUGUUCAUUCAUGAUGCUGUUUGUUCCUUGAGUCCUGCAUAACCCCUCCCUUCCAGAAAUUUAGUUUUAACUUCUUAAGGCUACCAUCUGCUGGGUAAUUAAUGUCCCACUUAGUGACAGCAUUAAUACCCGCAUCACUUACUUCCCUGACCCUACUUUGAGGCACUGUCUGUUCUUCCUGGUAGCGAAUGCACACACUAUGGACUUAGGAUUGCAGUUGGUCUCUUAUCUUCCUUCUUUACUGGCCUUCCUCUUUCUGCUGUAUCCUCCGCUAUAACAAUAUCACCAAUUUAUUUGUACGGCGCUUGAUGUAUUUACAGCAGAGAAAAAAUGGUGACGGAAUGAAGGUGUUUUUUUUCUGGGCCUCAAAUCGUUGCCUCUUUCAGAGACCGACACAGCUGUCAUUACCGCUGUAUGCAGGGAAGAGUCCGUUUGUGACAGUUGUAGCUUUCUUGGUACUCCUAAAAACUGAUCGCAACUUUGCGUUGGAAAAUAAACUGUUAUAUUACAUAAUUAUUAUAGACCCAUUUGGCCAGUCUUCCAAGAAAAUAUCUUCUGUUGAAGUCGUAUGGGUUGUUUCGGUAAGGGUUCUGGGAUUCAAUCCAGGGCUGAUUAUUCAGAGCUCCGUGGUAACCACCAACUAGUUCCUUGCUAAGGAUCCAUCGACAACCUCCCUUCUUAGAGAUUAAGAAAAAGAGGCUUCACAAUUUCAGUGUGAAAAUACACCGUGACCGUUCUGCUAUCUGGUAAUAAAUCAGUGUUGCAGAGGGAAAAGAGUUAAAAUUGGGGGUUUUUAAAAUUGUUUUUUUCCCUGAGCUUGUUAACUAAAUCUGGCGAGACGUUCUUUACUCAAAUACACAAGACCUGGUGCAACUUACUUUGCUGUGAAGAAAUAGAGAUGAAAUUAUAAAUGGAAACAAUAUAAAACAGAGGGAUGAGACCUUGUAGUUAAGAUGAGAUUGUCCAUUCACUCUUCAAGGAAUGGUUUUUUUAUAGGGAUAAAUGAUCCUCCAGAGGAGGCUACAAAGAUGAUUGGUAUGGAGCACCUCCACACGAGGACAGGCUGAGAGAGUUGGGGUUGUUCAGCCUGAAGAAGAGAAGGCUCCGAGGAGACCUUAGAGCAGCUUACAGUACCUGAAGGGGCUCCA